UCUCCGUAGGUGAACCUGCGGAGGGAUCAUUACCGAGUGAGCGCUCCGGCGCGACCUCCAACCCCAUGUUUUCCGACUCUGUUGCCUCGGGGGCGACCCUGCCGUCCGCGGCUGAGCGCCCCCGGGGUCAAUCAAACACUGCAUUCUCUGCGUCGGAGUAUUAGUAAAUCUAAUCAAAACUUUCAACAACGGAUCUCUUGGUUCUGGCAUCGAUGAAGAACGCAGC
rnacentral:misc_RNA from 1 species